AUUGAACGCUGGCGGCAGGCCUAACACAUGCAAGUCGAGCGGAGCGGCGGACGGGUGCGUAAUGCUUAUGAAUCUGCCUGGUAGUGGGGGAUGACGUCCGGUACUGGGCGCUGAUACCUCAUCCUAUCACAUUAGGCUAGGUCGGAUUAGCUAGUUGGUGGGGUAAAGGCCUACCAAGGCGACGAGCCGUAACUGGGCUGAGAGGAUGAUCAGUCACACUGGAACUGAGACACGGUCCAGACUCCUACGGGAGGCAGCAGUGGGGAAUAUUGGACAAUGGGCGAAAGCCUGAUCCAGCCAUGCCGCGUGUGUGAAGAAGGUCUUCGGAUUGUAAAGCACUUUCAGUUGGGAGGCGUUACCAACAGAAUAAGCACCGGCUAACUUCGUGCCAGCAGCCGCGGUAAUUC
rnacentral:rRNA from 1 species